rnacentral:rRNA from 1 species
CAAUAGCGUAUAUUUAAGUUGUUGCAGUUAAAAAGCUCGUAGUUGGAUUUCGGAUGGGACUUGCCGGUCCGUCGUUUCGAUGUGCACUGGCCAGUCCUAUCUUGUUGUCGGGGACUAGCUCCUGGGCUUCACUGUCCGGGACUAGGAGCUGACGAGGUUACUUUGAGUAAAUUAGAGUGUUCAAAGCAAGCCUACGCUCUGAAUACAUUAGCAUGGAAUAACACGAUAGGACUCUGGCUUAUCUUGUUGGUCUGUGAGACCAGAGUAAUGAUUAAGAGGGACAGUCGGGGGCAUUCGUAUUUCAUUGUCAGAGGUGAAAUUCUUGGAUUUAUGAAAGGCGAACUUCUGCGAAAGCAUUUGUCAAGGAUGUUUUCAUUA